UGAAAGAUGAAUUUAAGCCUAAACCACGAGGGCAGUAUUUUACAGAGUAUUCUCCUCAUACCUCGGGAUCAAGGAAGCAUCUUGGUGGACCCGUGUUAUGCAAAAUACAGUUAGGGGAGGACUACUCCAGGACUGGCGCAGACCCUGACAGAGCUGUCCGACGUUGCGCAUCUGUGUGGGUUAUUUGGAUCCAAUCUCUUCAACUCUGGCAGCAUGUGAGAAUUACUUGGGGAACAUUGAAAACUCACAGACGUCUGGGUCUCACCCAAGACCAAGUUAAUCAAAAUCUCUAGGGGAUGUGAAGUCUGGGUCAGUCGGAUCA
rnacentral:lncRNA from 1 species